UGGCGACCGGCGCACGGGUGCGUAACGCGUAUGCAACCUACCUUUUACUGGAGGAUAGCCUUUAGAAAUGAAGAUUAAUACUCCAUAAUAUUUAGAUUCAGCAUUGGAUUUAGAUUAAAGUUUCGGCGGUAAAAGAUGGGCAUGCGUUUUAUUAGUUAGUUGGUAAGGUAACGGCUUACCAAGACUACGAUAAAUAGGGGUCCUGAGAGGGAGAUCCCCCACACUGGUACUGAGACACGGACCAGACUCC
rnacentral:rRNA from 1 species